UACGUAGGGUGCAAGCGUUGUCCGGAAUUAUUGGGCGUAAAGAGCUCGUAGGCGGUCUGUUGCGUCGGCUGUGAAAACCCGGGGCUCAACCCCGGGCCUGCAGCCGAUACGGGCAGACUAGAGUUCGGCAGGGGAGACUGGAAUUCCUGGUGUAGCGGUGAAAUGCGUAGAGAUCGGGAGGAACACCGGUGGCGAAGGCGGGUCUCUGGGCCGAUACUGACGCUGAGGAGCGAAAGCGUGGGGAGCGAACAGG
rnacentral:rRNA from 1 species